UGAACGCUGGCGGCGUGCUUAACACAUGCAAGUCGUACGAGAACGUCUUAGCUUGCUAAGACUAGUAAAGUGGCGCACGGGUGAGUAACGCGUGGGUAAUCUACCUUCGAAUUGGGGAUAACGUUGCGAAAGCGACGCUAAUACCGAAUAACAUCCAUUUUUCUUCGGAAUUGUGGAUCAAAGAUGGCCUCUACAUGUAAGCUAUUGUUUGGAGAUGAGCCCGCGUACCAUUAGCUUGUUGGUGGGUAACGGCCUACCAAGGCAACGAUGGUUAGCUGGUCUGAGAGGAUGAUCAGCCACACUGUAACUGACACACGGUCCAGACUCCUACGGGAGGCAGCAGUGAGGAAUUUUGCGCAAUGGGGGAAACCCUGACGCAGCAACGCCGCGUGAGUGAUGAAGGCUUUCGGGUCGUAAAGCUCUGUCAAGUGGGAAGAACCUACAUAAUGUUAAUACCAUUUUGUACUGACGGUACCACUGAAGGAAGCACCGGCUAACUCC
rnacentral:rRNA from 1 species